rnacentral:lncRNA from 1 species
UCCUCUUCUCUCUCCUGCCCAGCAGGUCUGAAUGAUUGGGAUGAUGAUGAGAUCCUAGCAUCGGUGCUGGCAGUGUCCCAACAGGAAUACCUAGACAGUAUGAAGAAAAACAAAGUGCACAGAGACCCACCCCCAGACAAGAGUUGAUGGAGACCCAGGGACUGGACACCAUCCCCGAUCCCCCACUCCUGCCCUUUAAUGCCACCCAAACUUCUUUGGCUUUCUUCCCUCUUGGCUUCCUUCCUUUGUUUCCUCUUUUCCUUCUUUUCCACUUCCCUCUGGCUGGCCCACCCAUGCGCUCCAUCCAUCUCAUCCCUGCCACCACCAUUGGUCUCUGCCAGCUGAUGUGCCCUAUUGCCCCCCUGCACAGCACCAUCUCAGCAUUCCACAGGGGACUCUGGACAGGGUGCGGAAGGUAGGCAAGAGACCCACAGAGACAGACCAUCUGGCAGCCAGGCAGCCCCAGAAGAGAGACAUUCAGACAAAGGAAGUCUUCUGCUCGUCCUUCCUUAAAGAUCAGAUAAACUUGUCACCCAACAAUGAUGACAAGAAAAGUGGGAGUGGGAAAUUUUCCUUCCUAAGUCCCUGAAGAAUCUGAGCCUUCAAUGUUAAAAUUUUCUUGAUUAAAAUGUGCUUUAUCUCACAAAAUCAACAAAUGAAAACCAAUGUACACAGCAACGCUGGCCCUGUGAAGAUGACAUUCUGCUUUGGAACUGGGCAGGUUGGCCAUGGGGCAUAGAGGGCAAGAAGGAGAUGGAUUUCUGCUGUCUUUCGGCCCCCAAUUCCUUGGAAGGGCUAAGGAUAUGAGCCAGAGGGAAGUGGCAGGAGAUGCGGGUGGCAGACUGGCUUUGGACAGUGACAGUCUGACCUUGCUGCAUCGCUUUGCCUUCCACCACCGCUAAUCUGUUUGGAAGCUUGAAGUGGGGUGUCUUCAGAAAUCAUGGCCACUACUCAAGAUUUGAAUUUAGGGAGUGGGAGCAGCCUCAGCAGAUGGGGCACCCGUGCACUGCAGGUGUUGACAAGAUCCACCAUCUGUAAUGUCCUUGGCACAAUAAAACCAAAUGUCAGUUUCCCUGAGCUACUCUAUUCUGUGUGGGACGGGUGGACGGGCCUCCGGGAAGCACAGGAUUUGGCUUGACCAGAGGUCUGCUUGUUCUCCAGUAGGUGCUGUCUGUAAGCUGGGGUUCAUCUUUGAUCUUCUGUUUAUUAAAUUAACUUCUUGUUGGGUGCACUCUUGAGACUGAUGGCAGCGAAUCCCUA